UAAAAGCUCCAUGCAAAUACGCAGUCAACGUCAAAAAGUUGUGUUAUAAAAUGGUAGCUAUAAAAGACUGUAUUGCUUUUGUAACCGAAAAAUUCAGUCAUUAGUACCCACAGGCUGUUCAUUCAGUACCAGAAAUAGUCAGCGUUCCUAAUUAUACUUUUGGAAAACAGUUAAUCUUCUACAAUGCUGCCCGCAGUUUUAGAGCUGAGGAGAUAGAAACCUGGAGACAUUUAAGGACUUGGGCAAUGCUGGCAACAUAGUAGAAGAAGACUCAAAUGCAUACCUUAAAGAAAUCAAAGAAACCCAUCAACUUGGCUUUUCCAAGCUCCUUUUCUUUCUCUUGGAAAAAG